rnacentral:tRNA from 1 species
GCCGAGGUGGUCUAACCUGGUAUGACGUCAGGCUGAAGACCUGAUGACACUCCCGUGUCUUGCGGGUUCAAAUCCCGCCCUCGGCG